rnacentral:rRNA from 1 species
AACGAACGCUGGCGGCAGGCCUAACACAUGCAAGUCGAACGCCUGUAGCAAUACAGGAGUGGCAGACGGGUGAGUAACACGUGGGAAUGUGCCCAAAGGUACGGAACAACUCCGGGAAACUGGAGCUAAUGCCGUAUGUGCCCGAAAGGGGAAAGAUUUAUCGCCUUUGGAUCGGCCCGCGUCUGAUUAGCUUGUUGGUGAGGUAACGGCUCACCAAGGCGACGAUCAGUAGCUGGUCUGAGAGGAUGGCCAGCCACACUGGGACUGAGACACGGCCCAGACUCCUACGGGUGGCUG